rnacentral:rRNA from 2 species
CGGGUCAUACCGCGGGGUAUAUCCCUGACAAGCUCUUUCUUGAUUCUAUGGGUGGUGGUGCAUGGCCGUUCUUCGUUGGUGGAGUGAUUUUUCUAGUUAAUUCCGUGAACGAACGAGACCUUAGCCUGCUAACUAGCUAUGCGGAGCCAUCCCUCCGCAGCUAGAUUCCUAGAGGGACUAUCGCCGUUUAGGCGACGGAUGUUUGAGGCAAUAACAGGUCUGUGAUGCCCUUAGAUGUUCUG